UUUAAGAGGUGGGGCUUAGUGGAAGACGACUGGGAAGGUGAUUGGGGAACACCACCCUUGGAGAGACGGCCUGGUCCCUGCCCACUCUCUCUGGCUUCCUUGUCUCAUCAGGUGAUGACUCUUGCAUGGGAUUCAGCCAUGAUAUGAUGUAGCCAAGGGAGCCCUCACCAGAGGCUGACUUGAGGGGGCCACACAAUCAGACUUUCAGCCUCCCACAUUAUUGUUUCCUCAAGGGUGAAGUCAGCAUCCAUCUCAUGGAGACCUUCAAGCAGCCGAUGGAAAGAAUUCAAUUUGUCAAUCCCGGUUUGCCAACUCUGUAUACAAGCCAGGUUGGAAGCGGAUUCCCUAGCCCCUGGCAAGUUUCCAGAUGGUUCCAGGCCCCACUCCUUGAGCUUCCAAGACAAGCUGAGUCUCCAGACCACGGAGUGCAGGGAAUCAAGAGAGCAGAAUCAACUCACGUGCAGUCUAGUCGCGGGUUCUGCUGGGAAAUAAAAUGCCCGUCUCCCUUGCUGUGCCCCCACUCUGCAAGCAUUAAGGGUGGGUCUCUUAGAAUUCCUCUCACUUGCCGGGCACGGUGGUACACUCUUGUCAUCCCAGCAGCUCAGGAGGCUGAGGCAGGAGGAUCGCAAGUUGGAGGCCAGCCUCAGCCACUCAGCAGGGCCCUGAGCAACUCAGCAAGACCCUGUCUGUAAAUAAAAGAUAAAAUGGGCUGGGAUGUGGCUCCAUGGUUAAGCGCCUCUGGGUUCAAUCCCUGGUACAAAAAUAAAAAUGAGUCUCAUCCAAGCUC